ensembl:snoRNA
AGAAACACAUUAAAAAUGGAGGGAGGGAUGUCUUAGACAGUUUCCACAGAAAGCUCAGCAUCUCACGGCCCCAGGUCCUGUGUUCUGAGCCCUGGUUAUAAAUUUGGCUGAGAACUUUG